AUGGACGUGAGGGAAUCCCUGGCAUGCCAGGUGCCAAGGGUGCCGCCGGAAAACCUGGAAGCCCCGGGGAAGCUGGCCUUCAAUUACUCCCUGGUUAACCGGGAAGCCCGGGUCCAAAAGGUGAAGCUGGAGAGAAGGUGAGAGAUGUUGCUGAAUUUAUCUGUCUUCGGUGCAAAGUCAUCACAUUUUUUUCUCACCCUGAUCUGACAAAAGCUUUUAUCAGGACAGUGAAGCAAACAUCAUUUUCCAUAUGUUUCAGAUCCACUGACUUAUAAAGCUGAAAGGCCUAUUGCUAUUCAUAGACUAAGUAACUAUCUAACCAUGUCGGUUGGUUUUAGCAUUUUGCCAACAUUGACAUUCUGGCUGAUACAUAUUCCCAUUAUUUUAAUGUUAUGGCUGAUAAAUAAAA
rnacentral:lncRNA from 1 species